UUCCGAGAGAAGCUUUUGGGGGAGUCCCCAGCUAAAACGUGAAUUUGCAUUUAAAUGGAGAUUUUUUUUUUCCUAAUGAGCAGGAUGCAUGGGAGACUCAGACUAUUAGGUUUCCUUAUGGGAGAGAGCAGAAUCCGCUCACCUUCUCCGUCCCACCCCCUCCCCGAACCCUUUAAUGCACGCUUUAAAUUAGACACCAAAAAAAAGGAAUAGUGCGUCUUUAAGGAGAAUAUAAUCAUAAACAAAUAAGUCUCGUUGCCCUUGCAGCAGAACUAAUCUUCCCUCAGCUGAGCCGCGAUAGAGAUCAGUAACAAGAGCCACGCGCAGGGGGUUCCUUUGAAAUGCAUAAUACCUCCUCGUAUAAAUUGGAGUUGGUGUGAUGGAGCUGCGAGAUGACAUAUUGUGGCAUGACCCCUCUCCACUGAUUGUGGGUGAACCCUGCAAAGGGAGUUUUCGGCAGAAAGAGCUCUCUGCGCGAAGCCUUCUCCCUGCUUCCCCCCACCUGCCUCCGUGGGCUUUUCAAGUACCAGGAGCGAUCAGGCAGCGUACAUCGUGCCCACGAGGAAUAGAGUCCUGCAAACCCGUAUCUCGUGUAGGACAAGUUACAGCUGACUGAAACGAUGCUCUGGCUGCUCUUUGUUCUUGGGAAGGGUUUCGUGUUUUGCUCUAUUCCGAGGCGGCUUUAGAAAGGCUCCUUGGGUGGGAGACGGCUGAUGUACGGGGAGCCGUGCCCCUGCCCCGCGCAGGGGUGUUUGCAGGGCUGCUGCAGCCCGGGUGAGACGUGUCCCGCUAAUCCGUCGCCCGCGGGAGCCCUGGGGCGAGCCCGGCCGUACGGGGUCCGUUUAAGUCGGUGAUAAACCAGCCCUCGGCGGCACAGAAAUGAGUCGUGCGGGACAGGACGAAGCCCGCGCUGAACUUCGCGCUCCCGCGUGCUGCCCCGAGCCGGCGCCGGCCCCGGCGCAUCCUUCCCUGCGCGGCGGGGAAGCUCCCGUCUCCGGCCGGAUCAGAGCCGUCGUGGGGCUGUAAUCCCGUCAGCACCUCCUCUCGCCUGAUGCCGAGUGACACGGCGAUUGUGCGCGUAACGGUGUGACAGCGAGAUGAGUUUGUCAGUUCUGCGUAGCGUGAUUGCCAUUUUUCCCGGGGAGAGGAGAGGAACGAAAUUGAAGGAGAAAAGGUCGGGAAGCCCUGGUCAUCCUCUCCCCUUCUCCCAGAUCGCUCGCUGCUCCGGACGGAAACGAGACCUGACAGGCUGCCCGGGAUGCCGGCGGCCGGGGAGAGCCGCGGGGAGAGCUCGUUAGAGCCGGGCUGAAGCGGUGCUAACGCGGCGCUCCGGAGCCCCCGGACCCCCUCAUUGCCGGUGGCACCUGCUAACGGCAAAGUGACAGUGACAAGUGCUUCGAUGAGACCUCGGUCCCCGCCACGUGCCGCCUCCCGCCCCGGCGCGAGCUUUGGCGGAAAAUGCCACCCUCCGCCUAAAAACCCCGCGGGGGGGGGUCCCGCUGGGGAAAACGGCCCUUUUUGUCUUCGCUUUCCACUUUGGUGCAGAAACAUCUCAGUCCCGGCCCGGGAGCAGGCUCCUCUCAGCUCAGGCCCCUGCCCAGUCCCUCUGGACUGGUUUUAAUGGGUUGCACGGGUUUUUUUUGCUUUCUAUUUGUUGAAGAAAGAAACUUUUUCACAGGGGACAUUGAGGAAAAAAAUCCUACGUUUUCUGGUGGAAAAAUGACCGCCAGUUUUGUUCACCUCUAUUUCCAUGUAAAUCAGGGUUGUUAAAAAGAGGGACCGUCCUUGGGGCGUGCAGGAUCUCACCUGGCUCGUCAACCCUUCGGCAGGGUUUGAGCUGCUCCCAGGCGAAGCGAGGGAAGAUGCUGCGGUUGCCGCGAGUGAACUGGGCGCUGGGUGGAGGAACCCACGCUCCGGCGAUGGGGACCGUCCCCAGAAGAGGGGCCCGGAGCUGCUGGGGGUCUCCGGCCCCGGAGGGUUUCCAACCUCACCCGAAGGUGCCCUGAGCAGCCCGAUCACGCGCGGGAGCUGGCGGCUUUCUGCAGACGUGCACUGAAGCGUCUCCUCAUCUGACCAACUCCGGAUCGUGCAACGUGGAGCAGACACGGGCGUUCUGAGUCUGCCCUGGACUUUUAGGUGCUUUUAUUCAGCCCAGACUUGCCGGGACAGGUUUCUUGACCAAGAGCGCAGACCAGGCCGGAGGAGAGGAGCUGGUGGCCUGGGGCUCCCUGCGAGGACAAAGCGCAAACGUGUCGGAGCCGUCGGGUCCCCACGGCACGUCUGCUCCGGGGGCUCCAGCUUCUUCCAAGUGCUCAGCCCGCCUCGCCCUGGCUCUUAUUUCCGUACUAAGCUGUGGAGCGGUGGAUUUAGAGAAAAGGUGCUUGUGUUGCUUGGCUCUGUGUGAGCUGCCCUUCGAAGCCGCUAUGACGGGCCUCGGGCGAGCGCAGGAAUCUGCUGCAAGUUCCCAUUUCGCGAAUGUGUCGCCAGUCAAAUAGCCUCCCUCCGUCUGAGCCUAUUUACUCUCUCGGGGAUCUAUUUUUAAAAGUUAUUAGCAGAUUACUGGUUUUCCAUCAACCUCCGGCACCAAUCUCCCAAAGAUACCAUUGUACUUUAAUAAGGUGCAUUUGAUAAUCCUUGGAUAAAGGCGCUGGAAGUGGGGGGAGGAGAGGGAAAAACUCUUGCACUGAUUUAUCCAAGGGAUACGGGCUAGAAAAGGGUUAAAUAUACUCAUGUUUCUAAAUGGCUGAACUACUGUAUGUUGUAGUUUUCAACUGCAAAUCAUCUUUAAUAGCAGACAUCACGGGAUGGCUCAUUACAUUAAGCUAUUUUUCAUGCUAUCUCCUGUAAUAUCCUUUAAUCCAAUGCGUUUCAAAUCACCUCAGGCUAAAAUAAGAGACAUAGCGAUGUAAUAGCCUAGUGUAUUAGUGGGUUAAUUGCCCUGUUGUACUCUCUAGUAGAUAUCUCUGGAAUGAGUUCUAUAUUAAUUGUAAAUUGCUUAAUACAUUUAACUCCUUGAGCA